UUUCAAAUGCUGGCAGAAUUUCAUAUGUAGGAACUCUAAUAAUAGAAACAGCUCCACCAAACUUGGUUUUAAUGUAUUCCUGUUAUUCGUAUGUCAGGUUCCCUAAAGGUUUUAUCUUGAAGUGUUAACAGGGAAAUCUGUCACCAGUAGAGGACUAACUGAAGUCACAAGUCAUAUAACAAGCAGAAGAGACAAGUAACCUUCACUUGGAUGCUUAAGAAAAUACUGGCAGAAACAUUGAUUCAAUCAAUUUGCAAAUAACUUGAAGACAAGAAGUUCCAUCAGUGCCUCCUCUGAGGGUGCCUGCCUCACUCCAUCCAACCCUUGAAGACCUAUUACCCUUGAGUUGGCGUUUUGUGCUUCCUCUCCACUCCUGACAAUGACCCCCAAGACUUCCUACCAUUCUUGUGCAUAUUGCCCUCCAGGUUAAACCCUCAGCAUCCGACUCUUUGCAGCUUCUAAGAAAGCUUUUCAGUUGCUCAAGUUUAUUGGCUCAGAGAGAGCAUCAUCUGCCUGCAGCUGCACCCGAACAAUGCCAGAAGCAGUCGUGACAAACCUGGGACCUUGCCUGGCAGGUUGGAUGUCAUCCAUGCUCAUGCACCUAUGAUGACUGCUGCAUAGCUGGGGACAAGGAUAUUGACGUGAGAAUCAGUGGGUCCAGAACACGUGAGAUGACCUGAUGGCCAGGGAUCCUCAGGCCACAUGCUCUCCUGUAGGACCGCUUUAAGAGGUGAUAUUAAAUAGGGCUGAUGCCUGGUGAUUGCUGGGAAGCGGAAGAUAGGGGCUCUAACAGUGACUCAGGUUAUGGUGGGUCAAAAAUGGGGAACAAAGAUCACAGGAGGAAUGAGACAGGCUGAUGCUGGGAGUGGGGGCUUGGGAGCUGGCACUGCAGGCAACCAGCCACAUCCCUCCUAGCUGGUCUUUAUAGCUUCUGACAAGUGAACGUGCUUGGGUCUUGCCUAACGUCUCCCACCCAUAGGGACCUUGGAAGCCUCAAAGGGUCCCAGGCUGCCAGAGAAAGUUUUGUUUCCUCAUGUCAGUGAUAUCCAGCCAAGAUCCCUCAGUUUUCCUCCGGGUUAGAGCUGGUUUGGUCUCUGAGGUCCUGACAGAACAUGACUUCCCAUGCUUCCUCUGUGAGGACUGGUCUUGGGGUCAGGGGUCACUCAGUUUAGUUUGGCUCUGAAAGGGCUUUGAAACUAUGGAGAAGGCCCAGACUAAAUCCUAACUCGUACAAGCCCAGGAGGGAGUAUGCUUGCAGACCUAAACUCUAAAAGAUACAAUCAAGUCUUUCGGAAAAGUAAAGAUCAAUUUUAAAAGGCACGUAUGGAUAGAUUUAUUAGGCAGUGGUAGGGAACACAUUCAUUUAUUCUUUUAUUCAUUUAAUUUUUAAACAGACAUCACUGACUUGCUAUGAAUGGAAGGUGGUGAAACUCUGUGUAGAAGUUUCAGAAGACCUAGACACCCUCUGCAUUCUCGAUGAGUUUCUGGUCUAGCUCAGGGUCAGCAAACUGUUGCUGGCUGGUUAAAUCCUGCCUACGGA